GACGAACGCUGGCGGCGUGCUUAACACAUGCAAGUCGAACGGUGAACCUCUUCGGAGGGGAUCAGUGGCGAACGGGUGAGUCACACGUGGGCAACCUGCCCCCGGCUCUGGGAUAACUCCAAGAAAUUGGGGCUAAUACCGUAUGUUCACCGCUUCCCGCAUGGGUGGUGGUGGAAAGGGUUUCCGGCUGGGGAUGGGCCCGCGGCCUAUCAGCUUGUUGGUGGGGUAGUGGCCUACCAAGGCGACGACGGGUAGCCGGCCUGAGAGGGUGACCGGCCACACUGGGACUGAGACACGGCCCAGACUCCUACGGGAGGCAGCAGUGGGGAAUAUUGCGCAAUGGGCGGAAGCCUGACGCAGCGACGCCGCGUGGGGGAUGACGGCCUUCGGGUUGUAAACCUCUUUCAGCAGGGACGAAGCGCAAGUGACGGUACCUGCAGAAGAAGCACCGGCCAACUACGUG
rnacentral:rRNA from 1 species